rnacentral:tRNA from 1 species
GCGGUGGUGGUGGAAUAGGCAUACACGCGUGUUUGAGGGGCACGUUCCUGAAAAGGAUUAUGGGUUCAAGUCCCAUUCACCGCACCA